rnacentral:rRNA from 1 species
AGAGUUUGAUCAUGGCUCAGGAUGAACGCUGGCGGCGUGCCUAAUACAUGCAAGUCGGACGCUUUGUGCUUAAUUGAUAUGACGAGCUUGCUCUGAUUUGAUUUUUUGAUUUCAAAGAGUGGCGAACGGGUGAGUAACACGUGGGUAACCUACCUCUUAGCAGGGGAUAACAUUUGGAAACAAGUGCUAAUACCGUAUAAUACCAACAACCGCAUGGUUGUUGGUUGAAAGAUGGUUCUGCUAUCACUAAGAGAUGGACCCGCGGUGCAUUAGCUAGUUGGUAAGGUAAUGGCUUACCAAGGCAAUGAUGCAUAGCCGAGUUGAGAGGCUGAUCGGCCACAAUGGGACUGAGACACGGCCCAUACUCCUACGGGAGGCAGCAGUAGGGAAUCUUCCACAAUGGGCGCAAGCCUGAUGGAGCAACGCCGCGUGUGUGAUGAAGGGUUUCGGCUCGUAAAACACUGUUAUAAGAGAAGAACGGCACUGAGAGUAACUGUUCAGUGUGUGACGGUAUCUUACCAGAAAGGAACGGCUAAAUACGUGCCAGCAGCCGCGGUAAUACGUAUGUUCCAAGCGUUAUCCGGAUUUAUUGGGCGUAAAGCGAGCGCAGACGGUUAUUUAAGUCUGAAGUGAAAGCCCUCAGCUCAACUGAGGAAUUGCUUUGGAAACUGGAUGACUUGAGUGCAGUAGAGGAAAGUGGAACUCCAUGUGUAGCGGUGAAAUGCGUAGAUAUAUGGAAGAACACCAGUGGCGAAGGCGGCUUUCUGGACUGUAACUGACGUUGAGGCUCGAAAGUGUGGGUAGCGAACAGGAUUAGAUACCCUGGUAGUCCACACCGUAAACGAUGAGUGCUAGACGUUCGAGGGUUUCCGCCCUCGAGUGUCGCAGCUAACGCAUUAAGCACUCCGCCUGGGGAGUA